GACAAAAUAACCAUUCUGUAUAUUGGAUAUUGACUUCUAUUGACAAAAUAGCCAUAACAAUAUUCUGAUUUAGAAUAAUACUCCUUUUCUGCUGUAUAUUUGCAAGCUUUUAUCAAAUAUUACGGGAGCUCAAUAGAAAUCAACAAUAUGAAUCUUUAUUUACCACAAACAUUAUUGAUGCCUAUGCUUGUUUUUCUUAAAAUCCAUUAGCUUUUUAUGACACAUUUAUACUUUUUCAGUUGUUUAUUACUGAGAAGUGGCUGUCCUGCCAGAAAACUGCUAUUCUCAGCUGUAUCCACAAUGACUAAUAGUGAGUGGAAGUGCAGUGGAUAAAAGCAAAUGUGUCUUCUCUGUAUCUUUUUUCAUCCAUUGGCUAAAAAACAGGAGGAUGCAGAAGAUGAAAGAAAAUACAAUCCCUGAAAGAUCAUGAAGAAGCUCUCAAUCAGACAAAAAACCCCAUAGGAGAUUUUUUUUUUCAUUAUUGUACUCUCUGCUUCUAUGAGUUUAAAUUUCUUUUAUACUUUACAUAGAAAUAAAUCUAGGCUUACAUAGAAAUAAACCUAGGCUUACAUAGAAAUAAACCUAGGUUUCUUAUUAGAAGAUAGGCUGUGAUACUGAAAGCAAAUAAAAUGGUACAUGUUACCUGGCUGCAUUUCGAAGAUAGACGGUGAUACUGAAAGCAAAUAAAAUGGUACAUGUUACCUGGCUGCAUUUCAAACAGGUGAUGGUGACACUGCACUGAAGCACCAAAGGUGAUUCUUGUUGGCCAGGCCAGAGCUCCUUGUGAAAAAGGUUAGGCCCACUGGUAUGUCUGAAGCGUCCUAGCUGGAUGGACAGAACCACAUGGGCUAUUUUGAUUAGACUCUGAAUUUAAAACACCUUGGUGCCCAGUAAUGAGAACAUUUUCACAUUUAGUAUAACGUGAUUUGGUGUGUGGCUUGGAUUUGACAAAUCUUCACUGAGCUAAUGGCUGAUUGGAUUUACUUGGCCUGAAUGGAAAAUAAAAAUCACCUCUGAGUG
rnacentral:sRNA from 1 species